UACAGAGGGUGCCAAGCGUUGUUCGGAAUUAUUGGCGUAAAGCGCGUGUAGGCGGCUUUUGCAAGUCGGAUGUGAAAGCCCUCGGCUCAACCGAGGAAGUGCGUUCGAAACUGCAGAGCUUGAGUACCGGAGAGGGGUGGCGGAAUUCCCCAAAGUAGAGGUGAAAUUCGUGAGAUAUGGGGGAGGAAACACCGGGUUGGGCGAA
rnacentral:rRNA from 1 species